UACGAAGGGUGCAAGCGUUAGUCGGAAUUACUGGGCGUAAAGCGUGCGUAGGUGGUUUCUUAAGUCCGUUGUGAAAGCCCUGGGCUCAACCUGGGAACUGCAGUGGAUACUGGGAGGCUAGAGUGUGUCAGAGGAUGGUGGAAUUCCCGGUGUAGCGGUGAAAUGCGUAGAGAUCGGGAGGAACAUCAGUGGCGAAGGCGGCCAUCUGGGACAACACUGACGCUGAGGCACGAAAGCGUGGGGAGCAAACAGG
rnacentral:rRNA from 1 species